rnacentral:rRNA from 1 species
AGGAUGAACGCUAGCUACAGGCUUAACACAUGCAAGUCGAGGGGAAACGAUAGAGAAAGCUUGCUUUUUCUAGGCGUCGACCGGCGCACGGGUGAGUAACGCGUAUCCAACCUGCCCACCACUUGGGGAUAACCUUGCGAAAGUAAGACUAAUACCCAAUGAUAUCUCUAGAAGACAUCUGAAAGAGAUUAAAGAUUUAUCGGUGAUGGAUGGGGAUGCGUCUGAUUAGCUUGUUGGCGGGGUAACGGCCCACCAAGGCGACGAUCAGUAGGGGUUCUGAGAGGAAGGUCCCCCACAUUGGAACUGAGACACGGUCCAAACUCCUACGGGAGGCAGCAGUGAGGAAUAUUGGUCAAUGGGCGAGAGCCUGAACCAGCCAAGUAGCGUGCAGGAUGACGGCCCUAUGGGUUGUAAACUGCUUUUAUAAGGGAAUAAAGUGAGAGUCGUGACUCUUUUUGCAUGUACCUUAUGAAUAAGGACCGGCUAAUUCCGUGCCAGCAGCCGCGGUAAUACGGAAGGUCCGGGCGUUAUCCGGAUUUAUUGGGUUUAAAGGGAGCGUAGGCCGGAGAUUAAGCGUGUUGUGAAAUGUAGAUGCUCAACGUCUGCACUGCAGCGCGAACUGGUUUCCUUGAGUACGCACAAAGUGGGCGGAAUUCGUGGUGUAGCGGUGAAAUGCUUAGAUAUCACGAAGAACUCCGAUUGCGAAGGCAGCUCACUGGAGCGCAACUGACGCUGAAGCUCGAAAGUGCGGGUAUCGAACAGGAUUAGAUACCCUGGUAGUCCGCACGGUAAACGAUGGAUGCCCGCUGUUGGUCUGAAUAGGUCAGCGGCCAAGCGAAAGCAUUAAGCAUCCCACCUGGGGAGUACGCCGGCAACGGUGAAACUCAAAGGAAUUGACG